UCUAGAUAAUAAAGAAAAAUCAGAAAACUAACCGUAAGACAAACGGGAAUGUGUACGGUUUGAUUAUUUUCGAUUUUCUAUUUUUAUCGUAAUUCGGUUAAUAAUAAUCACAAUGAUGUGAAAUGUCUACAGAAUGAGUUAUUUAUAGGCAUUGUUAAUGUUUUAAAUACAUAUUUCGUGUAAAGCGAUGCGAUCAAGUUGU